GACGAACGCUGGCGGCGUGCCUAAUACAUGCAAGUAGAACGCACAGUUUAUACCGUAGCUUGCUACACCAUAGACUGUGAGUUGCGAACGGGUGAGUAACGCGUAGGUAACCUGCCUGGUAGCGGGGGAUAACUAUUGGAAACGAUAGCUAAUACCGCAUAAUAUUAAUUAUUGCAUGAUAAUUAAUUGAAAGGUGCAAUUGCACCACUACCAGAUGGACCUGCGUUGUAUUAGCUAGUUGGUGAGGUAACGGCUCACCUAGGCGACGAUACAUAGCCGACCUGGAGAGGGUAAUGGCCAACAUUGGACUGGGGCACGGGCCCGGAUCCUUCGGGGAGCAGCAGGAGGGGAACUUCGGCAAAGGACGAAAGUCUGGACGAAGAAAGCCGGGUGGGUGAAGGAGGUUUUCGGGUCGUAAAACUCUGUUUUUAGGGAAGAAAGGGUGUGGGAGUGGAAAGUUCACACUGUGACGGUAUCUUACCAGAAAGGGACGGCUAACUACGUG
rnacentral:rRNA from 1 species